rnacentral:rRNA from 1 species
GAUGAACGCUGGCGGCGUGCCUAAUACAUGCAAGUCGAGCGAACGGACGAGAAGUUUGUUUCUCUGAUGUUUGCGGAGGACGGGUGUGUAACACGUGGAUAACCUACCUCUCAGCCUGGGAUACCUUCGGGAAACCGGAGCUAAUACCGGAUAAUAUUUUGAUCCGUAUGGUUCAAAAGUGAAAGACGGUCUUGCUGUCACUUAUAGAUUGACACGCGCUGCAUUAGCUAGUUGGUAAGGUAACGGUUUACCAAGGCGCCGAAGGAUAGCCGACCGGGGAGGGUGGUCGGCCACACUGGAGCGGGGACACGGUCCUUGGGCCUACGGGAGGGAGCAGAAUGGAAUGGGCCGCAGUGGGCGAAAGCCUUGCGGAGCAGGGGCGCGUGAGAUGUGAAGGCCUUCGGAUCGUAAAACUCUGUCUUGAGGUAAGAACAUAUGUGGAAGUAACUGUGCAGAUCUUGACGGUACCUAAACAGAAAGCCACGGCUAACUACGUG